CCCUUAGAUGUUCUGGGCCGCACGCGCGCUACACUGAUGCAUUCAACGAGUUUCUUCCUGGUCCGAGAGGAAUGGGUAACCUUUUGAAAGUGCAUCGUGAUAGGGAUAGACUAUUGCAAUUAUUGGUCUUCAACGAGGAAUGCCUAGUAAACGCAAGUCAUCAGCUUGCAUUGAUUACGUCCCUGCCCUUUGUACACACCGCCCGUCGCUCCUACCGAUUGAAUGAUCCGAUGAAUAUCAUGGAUUGAGGAUGCAAGUAGGUUCGCCUAUCUUCAUCUUCGAGAAGUGAAGUAAAUCUUAUCAUUUAGAGGAAGGAGAAGUCGUAACA
rnacentral:rRNA from 1 species